rnacentral:rRNA from 1 species
CCUACGGGAGGCAGCAGUAGGGAAUAUUGCUCAAUGGGGGAAACCCUGAAGCAGCAACGCCGCGUGGAGGAUGAAGGUUUUCGGAUUGUAAACUCCUUUUGUCAGAGAAGAUAAUGACGGUAUCUAACGAAUAAGCACCGGCUAACUCCGUGCCAGCAGCCGCGGUAAUACGGAGGGUGCAAGCGUUACCCGGAAUCACUGGGGGUAAAGAGCGCGUAGGCGGGGUAGCAAGUCAGAAGUGAAAUGCUGUGGCUUAACCAUAGAACUGCAUUUGAAACUGUAAUUCUAGAGUAUAGGAGAGGUAAGUGGAAUUCUUGGUGUAGGGGUAAAAUCCGUAGAGAUCAGGAGGAAUACUCGUGGCGAAGGCGACCUGCUAGAACGUAACUGACGCUGAUGCGCGAAAGCGUGGGGAGCAAACAGGAUUAGAUACCCGAGUAGUC